CCUACGGGAGGCAGCAGCAAGGAAUCUUGCGCAAUGGGCGAAAGCCUGACGCAGCAACGCCGCGUGGGGGAAGAAGGCCCUCGGGUCGUAAACCCCUUUUGCAAGGGAAGCAACUGACGGUACCUUGCGAAUAAGCCACGGCUAACUACGUGCCAGCAGCCGCGGUAAUACGUAGGUGGCAAGCGUUGUCCGGAUUUACUGGGCGUAAAGGGCGCGCAGGCGGCCCAUCAAGUCCGGGGUGAAAGCUCCCGGCUCAACCGGGAGAGGUCUCCGGAAACUGAUGGGCUUGAGGGGAGCAGAGGAGAGCGGAAUUCCCGGUGUAGCGGUGAUAUGCGUAGAUAUCGGGAGGAACACCAGUGGCGAAGGCGGCUCUCUGGGCUCUCCCUGACGCUGAGGCGCGAAAGCGUGGGGAGCAAACCGGAUUAGAUACCCGGGUAGUCCACGCUGUAAACGUUGGGCACUAGGUGUGGGAGGUAUUGACCCCUUCCGUGCCGUAGUUAACGCGAUAAGUGCCCCGCCUGGGGAGUACGGCCGCAAGGCUAAAACUCAAAGGAAUUGACGGG
rnacentral:rRNA from 1 species